UGGCGGCGUGCUUAACACAUGCAAGUCGAACGCGCAGUUUCCUGUAGCAAUACAGGAGGCGGGCGCGUGGCGAACGGGUGCGUAACACGUGGGUAACCUUCCCUCAUGUGGGGGAUAACCCGCCGAAAGGCGGGCUAAUACCGCAUAACAUUCCGAUGGCUCCUGCUGUUGGAAUCAAAGCCGAAAGGCGCAAGAGGAGGGACCCGUGGCCGAUUAGCUUGUUGGCGAGGUAAUGGCUCACCAAGGCAAUGAUCGGUAGCCGGUCUGAGAGGAUGAUCGGCCACACUGGAACUGAGACACGGUCCAGACUCCUACGGGAGGCAGCAGUGGGGAAUCUUGCGCAAUGGGCGAGAGCCUGACGCAGCAACGCCGCGUGGGGGAUGAAGCUUCUCGGAGUGUAAACCCCUUUCGACCCGGACGAAUGCCCGCAAGGGUAUGACGGUACGGGUAUAAGAAGCCCCGGCUAACUACGUGCCAGCAGCCGCGGUAAAACGUAGGGGGCCAGCGUUGCUCGGAAUUACUGGGCGUAAGGGGUCCGUAGGCGGUGUGGCAAGUCGGUAGUGAAAUCUCUGGGCUUAACUCAGAGGCUGCUGCCGAAACUGCUGUGCUCGAGUGCGAGAGAGGCGAGUGGAAUUGCAGGUGUAGCGGUGAAAUGCGUAGAUAUCUGCAGGAACAUCCGAGGCAAAAGCGGCUCGCUGGAUCGCAACUGACGCUGAGGGACGAAAGCUAGGGGAGCAAACAGGAUUAGAUACCCUGGUAGUCCUAGCCCUAAACGAUCAGGACUGGGCGUGUGCCCUGUACGGGGC
rnacentral:rRNA from 1 species